rnacentral:siRNA from 1 species
UCACGAGAGUGUUAUGAUUGUGGU